rnacentral:tRNA from 1 species
CCCUGGCUGGCUCAGUUGGUAGAGCAUGAGACUCUUGAUCUUGGGGUCAUGAGUUCUAGGCCCAUGUUGGGCC